UACGUAGGGUGCAAGCGUUGUCCGGAAUUAUUGGGCGUAAAGAGCUCGUAGGCGGUUUGUCGCGUCUGCUGUGAAAACUCGAGGCUCAACCUCGAGACGUCGGUUGAAACCACCUGGCUAGAGUCCGGAAGAGGAGAGUGGAAUUCCCGGUGUAGCGGUGAAAUGCGCAGAUAUCGGGAAGAACACCCGUGGCGAAGGCGGCUCUCUGGGACGGUACUGACGCUGAGACGCGAAAGCGUGGGGAGCGAACAGG
rnacentral:rRNA from 1 species